UACGGAGGGAGCUAGCGUUGUUCGGAAUUACUGGGCGUAAAGGGCACGUAGGCGGCUUUCUAAGUCAGGGGUGAAAUCCUGGAGCUCAACUCCAGAACUGCCUUUGAUACUGGAGAGCUUGAGUCCGGAAGAGGUGAGUGGAACUCCGAGUGUAGAGGUGAAAUUCGUAGAUAUUCGGAAGAACACCAGUGGCGAAGGCGGCUCACUGGUCCGGUACUGACGCUGAGGCGCGAAAGCGUGGGGAGCAAACAGG
rnacentral:rRNA from 1 species